UAUAAACUUUAUUAUGCUUCUAGGUUACUUUUUCUCUUUAAGCAAUUAUUCCUACAUUCCUAAGUGUUCACCAGUGGAACAGAUAAGAGAUAGAAGUAGUUAGAAAUUGAGAUAAUUGGGUUGACCUGUCAUUGUUGCCAGGAUAAUUACUGGAAGAUUAAGCCUAUCUGUUAGACAUUUUGACCAUGUUUAUAAUUGUUGUUAGUAUUCUGUCAGAAUGUAUCUGUUUUCUAGUUAUUAAAAGAAGCAACAGAAUCGAGGCACAAAUAUGAAGAAAUGAAACAAGAAGAAGCACAACUGAAAGAGCAGGUCACGUAUGUUUGUCGGCACAUGCAAGAAAUGGUUCAAAACAUGAGGGACAUAUACAGAACCUGUGACUACUUGUGGUCAGCACAAGCUUUUCCUUUAUAUGGAUAAGUUUGAAGAAUUCCAGACUACCAUGGCAAAAACCAAUGAACUUUUUACAGCCUUCAAGCAGGAAACGGAAAAGCUGACAAAGAAAAUUAAAAAACUGGAAAAAGAAAUGGUAAUAUGGUAUACCAAAUGGGAAAAUAAUAAUACAACACUUCUGCAAAUGGCUGAAGAGAAAACUAUUCGUGAUAAAAAUUAUAAGGUCUUUCAAAUAAAAUUGGAGCGGUUAGAGAAGCUGUACAAGGCUCUUCAAAUAGAAAGGAAUGAACUCAGUGAGAAACUGGGAAUUCUGAAAGGGCAGGUCUCUGUGAAAGUAGCAGAUGUAGAUUUAGCAGUGCCUGUGACGCAUUCCUGUGCUGACCUGGAUUCUUCCAAUAUGCUGAACACUUCCUCUAAAAGAGCCCCAGGAGUCCAUCUGGAGGCUGACCCC
ensembl:lncRNA TXLNGY taxilin gamma Y-linked (pseudogene)